AUUGGGGAAAACUUUUGGGUUUGGAGGCCUCGCGCCUAUCAACUUUGUGGGGGGUAAGGCCUACCAAGGGGAGGAGGGUACCCGCCUGAGAGGUGACGGCCCCACUGGGAUUGAGCACGGCCCAGAUUCUUCGGGAAGCAGCAGUGGGAAUUUGCACAAUGGCGCCAGCCUGAUGCAGCGACGCCGCUUGAAGGAUGAAGGCCUUCGGGUUGUAAACCUCUUUCAGUAGGGAAGAAGCCCAUCCUUUUGGGGUGGGUGACGGUACCUGCAGAAGAAGCGCCGGCUAACUACGUGCCAGCAGCCGCGGUAAUACGUAGGGCGCAAGCGUUAUCCGGAAUUAUUGGGCGUAAAGAGCUCGUAGGCGGUUUGUCGCGUCUGCCGUGAAAGUCCGGGGCUUAACUCCGGAUCUGCGGUGGGUACGGGCAGACUAGAGUGCAGUAGGGGAGACUGGAAUUCCUGGUGUAGCGGUGAAAUGCGCAGAUAUCAGGAGGAACACCGAUGGCGAAGGCAGGUCUCUGGGCUGUAACUGACGCUGAGGAGCGAAAGCAUGGGGAGCGAACAGGAUUAGAUACCCUGGUAGUCCAUGCCGUAAACGUUGGGCACUAGGUGUGGGGGACAUUCCACGUUUUCCGCGCCGUAGCUAACGCAUUAAGUGCCCCGCCUGGGGAGUACGGCCGCAAGGCUAAAACUCAAAGGAAUUGACGGGGGCCCGCACAAGCGGCGGAGCAUGCGGAUUAAUUCGAUGCAACGCGAAGAACCUUACCAAGGCUUGACAUGAACCGGAAUGAUGCAGAGAUGUGUCAGCCACUUGUGGCCGGUUUACAGGUGGUGCAUGGUUGUCGUCAGCUCGUGUCGUGAGAUGUUGGGUUAAGUCCCGCAACGAGCGCAACCCUCGUUCCAUGUUGCCAGCGGGUUAUGCCGGGGACUCAUGGGAGACUGCCGGGGUCAACUCGGAGGAAGGUGGGGACGACGUCAAAUCAUCAUGCCCCUUAUGUCUUGGGCUUCACGCAUGCUACAAUGGCCGGUACAAAGGGUUGCGAUACUGUGAGGUGGAGCUAAUCCCAAAAAGCCGGUCUCAGUUCGGAUUGAGGUCUGCAACUCGACCUCAUGAAGUUGGAGUCGCUAGUAAUCGCAGAUCAGCAACGCUGCGGUGAAUACGUUCCCGGGCCUUGUACACACCGCCCGUCAAGUCACGAAAGUUGGUAACACCCGAAGCCGGUGGUUCGAAGCCUGAU
rnacentral:rRNA from 1 species